ACGAACGCUGGCGGCAUGCCUAAUACAUGCAAGUCGAACGAGAUCUUCGGAUCUAGUGGCGCACGAGUGCGUAACGCGUGGGAAUCUGCCCUUGGGUUCGGAAUAACUUCUGGAAACGGAAGCUAAUACCGGAUGAUGACGUAAGUCCAAAGAUUUAUCGCCCAAGGAUGAGCCCGCGUAGGAUUAGCUAGUUGGUGGGGUAAAGGCCCACCAAGGCGACGAUCCUUAGCUGGUCUGAGAGGAUGAUCAGCCACACUGGGACUGAGACACGGCCCAGACUCCUACGGGAGGCAGCAGUAGGGAAUAUUGGACAAUGGGCGCAAGCCUGAUCCAGCAAUGCCGCGUGAGUGAUGAAGGCCUUAGGGUUGUAAAGCUCUUUUACCCGGGAUGAUAAUGACAGUACCGGGAGAAUAAGCUCCGGCUAACUCCGUGCCAGCAGCCGCGGUAAUACGGAGGGAGCUAGCGUUGUUCGGAAUUACUGGGCGUAAAGCGCACGUAGGCGGCUAUUCAAGUCAGAGGUGAAAGCCCGGGGCUCAACCCCGGAACUGCCUUUGAAACUAGAUAGCUUGAAUCCAGGAGAGGUGAGUG
rnacentral:rRNA from 1 species